AUCUACACUCAAUAACAGCACUCCUAGUAACAGCACUCCUAGUAGAACAGCCUAGUAGUGCUGUUAUUGAGUGUAGAUAUUGAGCAAUUCUCAUUUUGCUGUUCUUACUCACCUGUCUAACCACUUAACUGCGGUAGGCUAAUGCCUGUUGUUCUAAUCAUCCGUCAGAUCCACACCAGACAGAGAUGAAAACCUUAAAAUUUUACAUAAGAUCUGUUGACAACAUUACGGCAGUAUGGGAGGACGACACAAGAUUAGCUUUCACUAGAGCUUUUAUAUUAAAUAAGUAUGGUCUCUCCCUAAGGAAUGAACAACAAAGUGAAAAUAAUAUCUACUACUGGGAUAUGAAAACAGCUACAAAUAAAGAGAAAUUAAGGAUGUCCAUAUUCCUAUAAAAUCAGUAUACAUUUAAAAAAAAUUUUGAUGACUCAAUUUUAAAGGCCUGUGUAAUCGAUCAUUUAACACAUUUAAUCAUUUACCAUUGUGAGGCCCGCUGAGCCCACAAGAUAAGAACGAACGAUACUCAACAGGCGAAUGGCCUAGCAGCGGUCUGUGGCGUAAGU
rnacentral:lncRNA from 1 species